rnacentral:rRNA from 1 species
GCAGAGUGCGGGCGGGCGGCGUGGGUAAGAGGAAGGUGGCAAGGGGUGGUUGGAUUCAGUGGGGGUAGAGGGGGUGUAGGCGGUUGGGUAAGCCUUCGGUUAAAGCUGCGGGCCCAACCCGGAAAGCGCAGAGGGUACUGCCAGGCUAGAGGGUGGGAGAGGAGCGCGGAAUUCCCGGUGUAGCGGUGAAAUGCGUAGAGAUCGGGAGGAAGGCCGGUGGCGAAGGCGGCGCUCUGGAACACACCUGACGCUGAGACACGAAAGCGUGGGGAGCAAACAGGAUUAGAUACCCUGGUAGUC